UACGGAGGGUGCAAGCGUUAUCCGGAUUCGCUGGGUUUAAAGGGUGCGUAGGUGGGCAAGUAAGUCAGUGGUUAAAUCUCCGGGCUUAACCCGGAAACUGCCAUUGAUACUAUUUGUCUUGAAUACUGUGGAGGUCAGCGGAAUAUGUCAUGUAGCGGUGAAAUGCUUAGAUAUGACAUAGAACACCAAUUGCGAAGGCAGCUGGCUACACAAAUAUUGACACUGAGGCACGAAAGCGUGGGGAUCAAACAGG
rnacentral:rRNA from 1 species